GACGAAGGAUGCAAGCGUUAUCCGGAUUCAUUGGGUUUAAAGGGCGCGUAGGUGGUCUUCUAAGUCAGUGGUGAAAUCUCUCGGCUUAACUGAGAAAUUGCCAUUGAUACUGGGAGACUUGAGUGUAGUUGCCGUUGGCGGAAUAUGACAUGUAGUGGUGAAAUACAUAGAGAUGUCAUAGAACACCGAUUGCGAAGGCAGCUAACGAAACUAUAACUGACACUGAGGCUCGAAAGUGCGGGGAUCAAACAGG
rnacentral:rRNA from 1 species